AGGUUUCCGUAGGUGAACCUGCGGAAGGAUCAUUAAAUGUUAUAGCAACCCUCUGGCUGAAAAUGCCAGGGGGCACAACUAUACCACCCUUUGUUUAUUACACCUUUGUUGCUUUGGUAGGCCAGUCCUCGGACUGCUGGCUUCGGCCGGACAGCGCCUGCCAGAGGACCUAAACUCUGUUUGUCUAUAAUGUCUGAGUACUAUAUAAUAGUUAAAACUUUCAACAACGGAUCUCUUGGUUCUGGCAUCGAUGAAGAACGCAGCGAAAUGCGAUAAGUAAUGUGAAUUGCAGAAUUCAGUGAAUCAUCGAAUCUUUGAACGCACAUUGCACCCCCUGGUAUUCCGGGGGGUAUGCCUGUUCGAGCGUCAUUAACAACCCUCAAGCUCUGCUUGGUAUUGGGCCCCGCCGACCCGGCGAGCCCUAAAAUCAGUGGCGGUGCCAUCUGGUUCCGAGCGUAGUAAUUCUUCUCGCUUUGGAGGCCGGGUGUGUGCUUGCCAGCAACCCCCAAUUUUUUUAAGUUUGACCUCGGAUCAGGUAGGGAUACCCGCUGAACUUAAGCAUAUCAUUAAGCGGAGGA
rnacentral:rRNA from 1 species